rnacentral:rRNA from 1 species
CUGCGUGGAAGGGCCAUCGCUCAACGGAUAAAAGCUACCCUGGGGAUAACAGGCUUAUCUCCCCCAAGAGUCCACAUCGACGGGGAGGUUUGGCACCUCGAUGUCGGCUCAUCACAUCCUGGGGCUGUAGUAGGUCCCAAGGGUUGGGCUGUUCGCCCAUUAAAGUGGUACGCGAGCUGGGUUCAGAACGUCGUGAGACAGUUCGGUCCCUAUCCGUCGCAGGCGUAGGAAAUUUGAGAAGACCUGUCCUUAGUACGAGAGGACCGGGAUGGACGUACCUCUGGUGUACCAGUUGUCCUGCCAAGGGCAUGGCUGGGUAGCUAUGUACGGAAUGGAUAAGCGCUGAAAGCAUCUAAGCGCGAAGCCAACUUCAAGAUAAGAUUUCCCACCGCAAGGGUAAGACCCCAGAAAGACUAUCUGGUUGAUAGGUCGAAGGUGUAAGUGCAGCAAUGUA